rnacentral:rRNA from 1 species
AGACCGGUUUACUGGUCGUGCUUUUGUACGUACUGGUAUAAUCGGUUGCUCUCCUUUCUGAUGAACCUUAAUGCCAUUAAUUUGGUGUUUUAGGGAAUCAGGACUGUUACUUUGAAAAAAUUAGAGUGUUUAAAGCAGGCUCACGCUUGAAUACAUUAGCAUGGAAUAACGGAAUAGGACGUUUGAUUCUAUUUUGUUGGUUUCUAGGAUCGACGUA